GACAGAGGGUGCAAACGUUGCUCGGAAUCACUGGGCGUAAAGCGCACGUAGGCGGACUCGUAGGUCAAUUGUGAAAUACCUGGGCUCAACCCGGGAACUGCAGUUGAAACCGCUUGUCUUGAAUACCUGAGAGGGUGGGGGAAUACCUGGUGGAGAAGUGAAAUUCGUAGAGAUCAGGUGGAACACCGGAGGCGAAGGCGCCUGCCUGGCAGUGUAUUGACGCUGAGGUGCGAAAGUGCGGGGAGCGAAUGGG
rnacentral:rRNA from 1 species